GACGAACGCUGGCGGCGUGCUUAACACAUGCAAGUCGAACGGAAAGGCCCUGCUUUUGUGGGGUGCUCGAGUGGCGAACGGGUGAGUAACACGUGAGUAACCUGCCCUUGACUUUGGGAUAACUUCAGGAAACUGGGGCUAAUACCGGAUAGGAGCUCCUGCUGCAUGGUGGGGGUUGGAAAGUUUCGGCGGUUGGGGAUGGACUCGCGGCUUAUCAGCUUGUUGGUGGGGUAGUGGCUUACCAAGGCUUUGACGGGUAGCCGGCCUGAGAGGGUGACCGGCCACAUUGGGACUGAGAUACGGCCCAGACUCCUACGGGAGGCAGCAGUGGGGAAUAUUGCACAAUGGGCGGAAGCCUGAUGCAGCAACGCCGCGUGCGGGAUGACGGCCUUCGGGUUGUAAACCGCUUUCGCCUGUGACGAAGCGUGAGUGACGGUAAUGGGUAAAGAAGCACCGGCUAACUACGUGCCAGCAGCCGCGGUGAUACGUAGGGUGCGAGCGUUGUCCGGAUUUAUUGGGCGUAGAGGGCUCGUAGGUGGUUGAUCGCGUCGGAAGUGUAAUCUUGGGGCUUAACCCUGAGCGUGCUUUCGAUACGGGUUGACUUGAGGAAGGUAGGGGAGAAUGGAAUUCCUGGUGGAGCGGUGGAAUGCGCAGAUAUCAGGAGGAACGCCAGUGGCGAAGGCGGUUCUCUGGGCCUUUCCUGACGCUGAGGAGCGAAAGCGUGGGGAGCGAACAGGCUUAGAUACCCUGGUAGUCCACGCUGUAAACGGUGGGUACUAGGUGUGGGGUCCAUUCCACGGGUUCCGUGCCGUAGCUAACGCUUUAAGUACCCCGCCUGGGGAGUACGGCCGCAAGGCUAAAACUCAAAGGAAUUGACGGGGCCCCGCACAAGCGGCGGAGCAUGCGGAUUAAUUCGAUGCAACGCGUAGAACCUUACCUGGGUUUGACAUGGAUCGGGAGUGCUCAGAGAUGGGUGUGCCUCUUUUGGGGUCGGUUCACAGGUGGUGCAUGCCUGUCGUCAGCUCGUGUCGUGAGAUGUUGGGUUAAGUCCCGCAACGAGCGCAACCCUUGUUCACUGUUGCCAGCACGUUAUGGUGGGGACUCAGUGGAGACCGCCGGGGUCAACUCGGAGGAAGGUGGGGAUGACGUCAAGUCAUCAUGCCCCUUAUGUCCAGGGCUUCACGCAUGCUACAAUGGCUGGUACAGAGAGUGGCGAGCCUGUGAGGGUGAGCGAAUCUCGGAAAGCCGGUCUCAGUUCGGAUUGGGGUCUGCAACUCGACCUCAUGAAGUCGGAGUCGCUAGUAAUCGCAGAUCAGCAACGCUGCGGUGAAUACGUUCCCGGG
rnacentral:rRNA from 1 species